rnacentral:rRNA from 1 species
CAGCGCCACGAGUGGGGAUCACGAUUAUUGGGCCUAAAGCGUCCGUAGCUGGUUUGAUAAGUCUUUUGUGAAAUCGUUGCGCUUAACGUAACGAUGUGCAAAAGAGACUGUCAGACUUGGAACCGGGAGGGGUCAGAAGUAUUCCAGGGGGAGCGGUAAAAUGUUAUAAUCCCUGGAGGACUACCUGUGGCGAAGGCGUCUGACUAGAACGGAUUCGACAGUGAGGGACGAAAGCUGAGGGAGCAAUCCGGAUUAGAUACCCGAGUAGUCC